CAAGAGUGAAACUCCAUCUCAAAAAAAAAUACUAGUAAAUAUAAAUAAAUAAAAAGUUCAGUAGACACUUCUUGGGAAACUUUAUGUGUCUCUAGUAGAGUUAAAAGGUUUUGCAGAAGAUAAACGUUAAAAAAUUAUUUAUUUGGAGUGAAUCUUUGGUGAGUUUUUAUAACUUUAAUUGCAUCAAAUACUGAAUGCUGUGAGAGUCAAUAAAAAAAUCUUAUAACAGAAGAAAAUCAGUAUCUUUAAAUAAAAAAGCCAUAAAUGUAUUGCAAAUCUAGAAGUACCAGAAUGUCACUAAUACAGAACAAAUCAGCAAUCUUGUUUUUAUUUUCUUCCAAACAUUUAAAACCUUGAUUAUUGACAUACUGAAAUUGGCAUGCAUUCUCUUUUCAUGCAGGUAACAGAAUAGACAUGGAGCAGAUCCCUCUGAAAUCAGUUAUAAAUAUUAAAUUGUAUUGAACAUUCAUAGUAAAAAUACGUUGUAAAGUGCUGAAGUCAUGUAAGUCUGCAAAACUGCCACAAGCUCAAAGUUCUUCUCAAGCAGUGGCAGAGAUUUGCUAUAUCCACCUUGUUUUAGAUUAUGCCUGUUUUUGACAGACACUGUGUCAUUUCCUCCCCCACCCUCCCCAAAGUUUUAUAGAUUGUCCUAUUUCUAUGGCUGGUAAGAUGCUCUACAAAAUGUAGCAGGUGGUGAUGAACUAUGCCACUUUCAUUUCAGUGCAGAGAAAUAUUCAAGCUUGUGUGUACCUGUAACCAAACUAGGCUUGUUAUGUUUUUCCCCCGAGUUGUCAUAAAUUAACAUUAAUGAUGAGUAAAGAUGGAGCAGCGAGCAUUGACCGUCACCUGCAGGGUGAGAUUGCAGUAAAAUAGGUGAGUAAAAAGUCCACCUAUUAUCCUGACACUUGUCCUCUUUACAGAAAACUGUAACGUGAGCAAUACUAUACAUGUAGUGUGACUCCAAAAAUAAAAAAUAAAACAAACAACAACAACAACAACAAAAAAACAAUGACCAGUUACCCGAUACCUCUGGCAACUUAGAACAAUCAAGUUGUGAGUUAUAGAAGAUGUAAAUUGCAACUUGUAACUCGCUAUAACAUAAAUGUCUCUGUUACCCCCAUGUGAAAUACAGAAAUGCUUCAACAAUUAGAUGGUUUUUUCUUUAAAUCAGAAAUGCUUUAACAGUUCAAUGAAAUAUAAUUCUGAUCAAAGAAGUUCCUCAAGUAUUCUUAGAUGAUAAAACAAAUUAUUUUUGAAAGCUAAGGUGAUUUGCUAUCCGUUAUUUUUUCCCCUUUAAAUAGCACAUGUUGCCCUUAAUCAAAUGGAAGAAUCAUGACAACUUGGCCUUUUAUGAAAGUAUUUUUUACAAGAUAAGACGUAUUCUGUGAGGCAUUUAAAGGACUGCAGAAAGGAGGUAAAAAUGCUGCUUAUGUCUCAGAUUUUAUUUCUUUUGAUUAAUCAUCCUAGAAUAACUUAAUAAUAAAUAGCGGUUUAAAUUAAAGACACUACAGUCACAUAUUUCUGUAUAACUAAAAGCAACAGGAAACACAUUUUUAAAUGCCAUUUUGUAUAUUCUGUACUGAAACACUUCUGGUAAGGACUGGCCAUAAAAAGAAGUGGUAAUCUUCACAUUUAUGAAGUUCAAGUUAUAUAUAUAUAUAUACUUAA
rnacentral:lncRNA from 1 species